GGCGAGCGAAAAGGGAUAAGCUCAAAUUUUAAAUCUGUUGGGUUUCACCUAACAGAGUUGUAUUUUGAAGAAACGUUUUCUGCGUCCAGGAUUAACCUAAAUCCUUUGGGAUAAGGUAUCAUGGAGGGUGAGAAUCCCGUUCAUGGUUAAUCUUAAGGAUGCUCUACGAUACGUUCUCCAAGAGUCGAGUUGUUUGGGAUUGCAGCUCAAAAUGGGAGGUAAAUUUCUCCUAAGGCUAAAUAUUGGCGAGAGACCGAUAGCGAACAAGUACCGUGAGGGAAAGAUGAAAAGAACUUUGAAAAGAGAGUUAAACAGUACGUGAAAUUGUUGAAAGGGAAACGAUUGAAGUCAGUCAUACUAACGGGAAAUCAACCUCUUGAGUUUGGUCUCGUGGGUUUCGAAGAGUUUUAAAAGCCUUCGGAUUUUCGAGAUUGGGCUCUUCUGGUGUACUUUCUCGUCGGUUAGUCAACAUCGGUUUUGAAUGUCAUAAAAUGACUGGAGGAAUGUGGCUUCGAUCUCGUAUUGAAGUGUUAUAACCUUUGGUAGAUGUGAUGUUUGAGACCGAGGAUUGCAACGGAUACCCUUCUGGGCUAUUCGUCUGAUCUCUGAAACGUUGCCUUGAUGUCGAAAGCUUGCUUAUGAUGUUAGGGU
rnacentral:rRNA from 1 species